CCUGCCUGCUCGCUACAGCAGCCACUAGCCACACGUGGCAACUGAGCACUUGAAAUGUGGUUAGUGUAACUGAGAAAUGGAUUUGUAAUUUUAUAUCGUUUUAAUUGAUUUAAAUAGCUACAUGUGGCCAGUGGUUACUGUAUUGGCUAGUGCAGCGCUUCAAUUUUCUCUUAAAUUUGGAGAAAUGAAGGAAUACCAGCUGGACUCAAAGCAGAAGCUAGAAAGAAGGUAGAACUGGUCUACUCCGAACUAUUCUAGCCUAAUGAGAAGAAGGCACCAGGAAUGGGGCAAGAGAAAGAGGCAAAAACCCCACUCAGCCACAUAAAAAUUCACUCACUCAACCAACCAGCCAACCAAGUUUAAAUUGGAAAUAUCACACUUAUCUCCUGAAAAAAUAUAUUUAUCUAUUUUUCUAGAACCUUGAAAGAAUAAUAAUAUAUUACAAGAAAGGAGACACAAAUAUCCCACCAUCCCUUACAUUGCAUUUUGGGAUCUGCUAGAAAACUAUGUCUCGGCAAAAGCUGCUGCUUAGAGGAAGCAGCUUCAGAAAGGGUUGAAGUCACAAAAAGGAGUGUAAAAUAUACUUUUAAAAAUGGGGAGGGGAUUUAAA